rnacentral:misc_RNA from 1 species
CAACCCUCGAGCGCUGUUCCGCUUGGAGUUGGGGCUCUUGCAGCAAGCACUUUGGUGCCCUGCAAGCCCUGAAAUUCAGCGGCGGGCCCGCCGGCACACCGAGCGCAGUAAUACUACUUCUCGUUCAGGGCGUGCGGCGCGGCGCAGCCGACAUCUUAAAACUUUCCAA